rnacentral:rRNA from 1 species
GAUGAACGCUAGCGGCAGGCUUAAUACAUGCAAGUCGUGGGGCAGCAGGUUUGUAGCAAUACAGAUGCUGGCGACCGGCAAACGGGUGCGGAACACGUACAGAACCUUCCUUGAGCGGGGAAUAGCCCAGAGAAAUUCGGAUUAAUACCCCAUAGUAUAAUGAAGUGGCAUCACUUAUUAUUAAAGAUUAUCACUCGAAGAUGGCUGUGCGGCUGAUUAGGUAGUUGGCGGGUAAAGGCCCACCAAGCCUGCGAUCAGUAACUGGUGUGAGAGCACGACCAGUCACACGGGCACUGAGACACGGGCCGACUCCUACGGGAGGCAGCAGUAAGGAAUAUUGGUC